rnacentral:tRNA from 2 species
GGGCACUUGGCAGAGUGGUUUAUUGCGCUCGUCUUGAAAACGAGUACUUCAAAAAAGUCCUGAGUUCGACUCUCAGAGUUCCCG